AACGUAGAUAGAGGUUGCAUUUUUUAUGAGUAUGAUGUCGGAUGGACAGGGACAGAAGAAGUCAUCAAAAAGGAGAAGAUGCCGAAAGGAUAUGGAAUAACCUGGAGCUAUAUCACUUGGGCGUGGCGUGAAGAACGACACGACUGUCAUCGCAGGAUGGGGAGCUAUCUGAUAU
rfam:Firmicutes bacterium CAG:212 genomic scaffold, scf45